GAUGAACGCUGGCGGCGUGCCUAAUACAUGCAAGUCGAGCGAACGGACGAGAAGCUUGCUUCUCUGAUGUUAGCGGCGGACGGGUGAGUAACACGUGGAUAACCUACCUAUAAGACUGGGAUAACUUCGGGAAACCGGAGCUAAUACCGGAUAAUAUUUUGAACCGCAUGGUUCAAAAGUGAAAGACGGUCUUGCUGUCACUUAUAGAUGGAUCCGCGCUGCAUUAGCUAGUUGGUAAGGUAACGGCUUACCAAGGCAACGAUGCAUAGCCGACCUGAGGGGGUGAUCAGCCACACUGGAACUGAGACACGGUCCAGACUCCUACGGGAGGCAGCAGUAGGGAAUCUUCCGCAAUGGGCGAAAGCCUGACGGAGCAACGCCGCGUGAGUGAUCAAGGUCUUCGGAUCGUAAAACUCUGUUAUUAGGGAAGAACAUAUGUGUAAGUAACUGUGCACAUCUUGACGGUACCUAAUCAGAAAGCCACGGCUAACUACGUG
rnacentral:rRNA from 1 species